rnacentral:lncRNA from 1 species
GCUCACUUCAAGAAAGUUCCAUGAAACUCUUAGUUCUAGAACGACACACUCAAUAAUUGUAACUUUUGCUGCAGCAACAUUAUUUCCUUCAAAUUGGUGGCGCAUGCGGUUGCUGAGCAACAGGCGUCUCACCUACACUUUGACCAGACCAACAUUAACCAGCAGAAAGUGCCAAAAUUCUUUCUCUGAGGCAUUCUCUACUGGCAUGGAUCGGUGCACAAACACAAAGGCAGGGGAAUAUUCAAAACAUUCACAGCAAAACACCAACUCCUCUUUCUCACACACACACACACACACACACGCUGAGCUGGAGGAGUGGCCAAUGUAAUCUCUCUCAUGAGCUGCGAUCAAAUGACAGGUUCGCAACAUUUUAGAAGACACAUACAUUUACAAAACAUAACAUACAAAACAUUGCAAUAUUGCAUGUUCUUGUGUAAUAUAGUGAGUGGGUGUGCCAAGUGUGUUUAGCCUAUACGUGUUGCGAACAGACUAGAGUUGAUGAAGCAACUAAACUAUUGAAAAGCUACCGUUAUAAAAUGCAAGCAAUUAAUUUAGACUGCUACAGCCUUUCUCUGCUGACGGCGAAAGAGGACGUUCUGAACCCACGUUCAUAAUUGGGUGGACCAUUCUGGGAUUAAGUGGUGGGGUGGCACAGGCCCCUGGCUGGCUUGGCUGUAGUCAAUUGCUCAUCAAAAAGGGGCAUUGUUUGCAUCUGAUGGCAUCACAAACAACCUCAAGCUGUCGGAUUCUGGGGCAGGUGAUGUGUCUGACCUGGCAGGAAGGUUCCAUCCCAGACGUCCCCUCUGCAGGCUCUGAAGGGUGGGGGACGAGGUGGAUGAGUUUCGACAGGGGGAGUGUGCCAGCCAUGUUCCUGCCAUCAGGGCUUUCUUCAAGAGAGAUGUUUGUUUCUGUCGGCGCAAUGGGUGAAGAAACCGGGUGGCUGUACCGACUCUGACAACGUAUCCCGAGUGAGCCAUGUUUCCGUGAAACAGAGAAUGUUACAAUCUCUGGUGUCUCUCUGGAAGGAAACUCGUGCCGUAAUUUCAUCCACUUUGUUAUCUAAUGAUUGGACAUUGGCGAGUAAUAUGCUAGGAAGCGAUGGAUGGUGUGCUCGUCUUCUGAGUCUGACCAGUAGGCUGCUCCGUCUGCCUCUCCUGUGGCGACCACGUUGUUUUGGGUCGGCCUCUGGGAUAAGAUCGCAUGUCCAGGGUGGAGGUCCGAACAAAGGAUUCGCUUCGGGAAAGACGUAUUCCUGGUCGUAAUGAUGGAGGCCCAUGUGUUCCUCAGUACAGGUUCUACAGAGGAGAGGGUCCUGGCAGUUGUCAGUGAAGCCAGCCAGCAGACUGACACAUCCAGAAGACCAUCUAGAGAUGAAGAGAUAGAGGAGACUGAGCGAUAGAGGAGGAGAGGAGAGAGGAGGAAUGCAGAAUGGCAGCAGAGGAGAGGAAGCACAGGGAGAGAGAGAGGAUACAGCAAGAGAGGAGGGAUGUGGAAGAGAGGGAAAGGAGGAUGAAAGAGAAAAAGGAAAGGAUACAGGAGCAGGUACAGGAAAUUACAAACCCAGAUUGAAGCAGAGACUCACAAACAAGAAAGACUAAGAUGGGAGGCAGCAGCGCUCAUGUCUCAACACUACAAACCCUAGGGAGUUUUUCAAGCACUCUUCCGAUUCCUCAAGAUCUCUUCCUCUUGCACAGUGAGGCCUACAUUCAGACGAUACCAACGGACCCUAACAGACAACUCUUUCAUAUUCAGGAAGUCAGAACCCUCCACUCCCACCUUCCCCCAUAGCCCAACAAUGGUCUGUUCUUUCAGCCAGAAACCCAGUCACCCCCGUAGUCCAACAAUGGUCUCUCCCAGCUCUUCUUCCAAAUCCUCUAAUUCCAUCCAUCCGCAACAACCAUCUUGUGUGGAGCCUAAAAUUCCCCUCUCCAUGUCCUCUCAGGCCCCUUCCCCUCCCCAAACCCCCUUCUUCACACCUCCAUGGACUCCCUCUGUCCCAUCCCGGACCCUCUCUCUUCCUCAGGCCAGUCUGCCCCCUCUGCCCCGAUCCAGGCCCUUGCCUGCACAGCCUGAGACCCCCUGGAGCUGAGAAAACUGGAAACGGAGCUUACAGAGGUCGAGGAAGAGGAGGAGAGGCAAGGAAUUAAAGUGGUAGUUGAGAAGAAAGAAAAAGAGGAGACAUGCCGCCAUCACUGCAGAGGGGGGGAGGCGAAUGAGGUACUACAGGAGAGGGGAGGGAUGUGUGUGGUGGAAGAGGAGAGAGAUGGAUGAGGGGAUGGAAGGAGUAGAAGAGGAGGAGGAGGAAGUGAUUGAAAAGGAAGAGAAGGAUAGUAAGACUACUGAAGGAGAGGCGAGAAUCAGAGGAUAUAGAUGGAGAGGAAGAAGCAGACACAGUAGCAUCAGAAAUCGAGUUAGACACAUCCCUGGAUGUAAUAAUGAGUGAUGAAUAAUACACAGCCCUCAAACUCCCUCAGAACAAACAGUCCUCUCCAACUCCCGCUCCGACGAAUCCAACCUAGCUCCCGAAGUGUCUGGAACCUUCGUUAAUCCAGCCAAGCAGCAAGGGAAUUGAGACAACUAUCUCUCUAAAAUAUUAAACAAUACAUAUUAUAUGUUUAGUUGAGUAAAGUAGAGUGCAGUUCAACCCAAUUCAGGGGAAAAAACGAUUCUUCGUACAUAAAAUGUUAUCCCGCUUCACAAGAGCAUCUCUCUCCCUUUUGUUUCUCUCCUCGGCAACAAUGGAAAACCUGCAAAACCAUCUGCACACCACCCAUAGUCCAUCUUGAUUGGCCCAAAUGAUCACACACCCUUCAGGUGAACAAAAACUGUCCCAACAUAUUUCAAGUAACAGUACAUAAUAAUUUAACCAACAUAGGCCAACAGCGAAGGCUGUAGUAAAACGUAAUUUAUAAAAAAUAAAACCAAUCUGAUUAAAUGUUUACAAAAUAUACAUUCACACACAUAAUACUACCCAAUCCACUUGUAUAUAGAAGUGAUAUAUCUCACUAUAGGAACAGACACCACACUAGGAACUCCAGGUGUGUCAUAGGUCAGCAGUGUAGGAGCUUUCUUAGUUCUUAGAGAUCAUCUUAUCUCUGCUUCUGCUUCCUUCAUUUCUUCUGAGUUGUCUUCAACUGAAUCAGAUUUCUUAUUUCUUAACCUCAUUUGUUUCAUCCUCAUUUGUUCUAUAUGUUUCCUCAGCUUCAGUUGCUUCUGUUGCUUCUUCAGUUUUAUUUGUUUCUUCAGUGGACUCAGUUUAUUUUUCUUCUCCUGUUCUCGCUUUAGGUUCUCCAGUCAUUACCUUCCAUGUAAUGUCCAAGUCCAAACUUAUUUUUAACCUUUAUUUAACUAGGCAAGUCAGUUAAGAACAAAUUCUUAUUUACAAUGACGGCCUAAGAACAGUGCCUUGUUCAGGGGCAGAACAACAGUGCAGUUCAACCCAAUUCGGGGAAAAACGAUUUUUAGUACAUAAAAUGUUUUCCCGCUUCACAAAAGCAUCUCUCUCCCUUUCUUUCUUUCUUUCCUCAGUAGUGAUGGGUCGUUCGCGAACGAGUUGGCUCUAAGAGCCGGCUCUUGUAGGUGAACGUUGGGAGCUUGUUCGCAUAUCAGAAGAGCCGAAUCUAUUUAUUAAAAAAUAAACAAAUUAAGAUAUGAAUAAUCAAAAGAUUUAAAUGAAUAGAAUUAACUAAUUCAAAGAAAGAAAAAAAUUAUACAAUAAUAUAGGCCUAAAUGCUCAAGCGCACACACAUUCGUUCUGACUGUCUGCUCAGACUAACAGCCUCACCUGGUUGUUCCUGUCAAUCAGACACGCAGUAUCAACCAAAGAUGUGUGAGGAAGGGCUGAGGGAGGGGCUGAGCCAACUCACUCACAGUCACACAGAGGAAGGACAACUGUGAAAACAACAGUUGGAAAAUGAGUCGGAGGCACAGUAGCAUUUGGAUGCAUUUUAAUAAUGUAGACAAUGUUAGAGCACAGUGUAGAAUUUGCCAAAACAAAAUCUCAUAUGAAGCCGGUUCUAUGCACAACCUACACCGGCAUAUGCGAACUAUGCACCCAACUGUGAAGCUUGCUGUAGCAGAACUUCGAGAAACUAGCAGGCCUGCUAGUGAUAGUGGUGGAGCCAGCACCUCCACACGUGGUCAGUCAAGUAGGCCUACUCUGCGACCCACAGCAACGCAGUCUUCUAUGGAGCAGUUUAUGCCAAAGUCUAUGUCUGUAUCAAAACAAGGCCAAAUUGAUAUUGCAUUGGCUAAAAUGUUUGCCACUGAUUUCCAGCCAUUUUCGAUCAUGGAGGACAGAGGUUUUAGAAAUUAUAGCAAUAGUCUAAAUCCAAUGUACACAAUUCUAAGCAGAAAAACCCUUUCAAAAUCACGUAUUCCACAACUGUACGAGAGCACACAGGCAUCAGUGCGGGAAAGAGUCCAAAAAGCUACAGCAGUUUGCCUUACCACUGACUGCUGGACAUCAAGGGUAACCACGUCUUACAUGUUGGUUACAUGUCAUUUCAUUGAAGAUUUUUCGGUGUCUACACCAGAUGGGGAUGCCUGAGCUGAGGCCUAAACAAGACUGCACUACAAAGUGGAAUUCAACAUUUUACCAGGGAAACAGGAAGAAGAGGGAUCAGAUGGAGCAGAAGCACCAGCAGUAGUGCCACAAACGUCUGCUGUUUGGAUUCUGUUUGACAAGAGAGCAACUGGGGAUGCAGCACGAAUGAUUCCCUCAGCAGAUGCCAUAAUGGAGGUCCGAUCCAAUUUGGAGGAGCCCUGAGCUGGUGGAAGAACAAGGCCUCUGUCUACCCACGGCUUACUAAAGUCAUGAUAGGGAGACUCUGUUUAGUGGCCACAUCCGUUCUCCCUAAGAGGGUCUUUUCGAAAAUAGGACAAAUAAUUACUGAGAGAAGAAACCGCAUCAGCCUCUCGAAAGUGAGGCAGCUUUCAUUUCUGAAUGCAAAUCUCUCAUAAAAGAAAAAUAUGGUCAGCAUUACUGUGUGCUGCUGGUUAUAACAUGGCAAUAAAUAAGAGAGAGAAAAGAGAGACCAGUUUAAUGUUUUAAGUGGGAUGCUGCAGUUUUGCACAUUGUUAUUUAUUUGUCUUUGAUAUGGUGCAAUAUUCUAUUAUGCUGUUCAGAUUGUAUUCGUUUUGAAUGGUUAGAUGUAUAUGCACUUUGUUUAUAAACAUUAAAAAGUUAUACUUUAAAU